rnacentral:lncRNA from 1 species
CUGCGUCCUGGUGAGGACACUGCGUUUCUUUCAGACUUUGAAGAUCUGUCGUUUUAGAAAAGUGGCUGCCUCUGUCACCAGCCCCAUGGUUACUGUCCUGUAGUGUGACUGUCAGGAGGUGUUUCUCAGUCCUUCGUUGUAAGAAUGUAGAUGCCGGUUGCACCUUCUGUUGUCUUGGAAGAGACUGCAGUGCUUGGCUGGAAAAUAAGCUGCUCGGGACUCCUCUGAGAAGCCAAAGUGAAGCUCAGAGAUGGAGAAUUUGGGCAGUUGUCUGGACAUUAGGAGUUGAGUCACCUCCUACCCAUGAGGAACAAGCCUGUGGGGGGACUGAUAUUAUCACUUCUGUCAUCAAGAAAUAAGGCCGCAGGCAUCCCUGAAUAUAGAGCAUUUAUUAAUCGAACUGUGAAAAUGAAACACAGACAGUGAUGACAGCUGGAAGUUGGCCAAUGUCCUGUUGUCAUAUUGCCCUCAGCCUAGGGACUGGCCUGUGGCUCACUGACCCUGUCUCCCACUCUCCACCUCUCAUCAGCACCUGGACCUGGUGCACCUGGUCUACCUCAUGUCCAGUGUUUUCCGCAGUACCUGACUGGUAUCCCCACCCUUGGUUGUUGUGUGGUGAGCUCGUCCCUAUGUUGGCAAGUUACUUAAUUCCUAGGUGUCCCGCCUUCCUCACUGUAAAAUGAGAAUAGUCAUAGCACGAAUGUCAUGAAUCCUUGUGAAGAUUUUAUGAUUAGCACACGAGUUACAAGGAGACACGAUAACUGUUACGUACGUACUCAUUCGUUCGGAAAUACAACAGACAGCUUAGUAUCUCCACCCGGGUCCCUCUGCCCUGUGGGAAUCCAUAAAGAAUUGAUUCUCAUCCCCCAGAAGUGAGAUCCCAUUUAUUUAUUAGGUAUCAGGCACAGCAUCUGCUUCAAAGAACACAUCGACGACAGGGGAGCCCCUUGCACUCACUCAGGACAGGAGAAUCAGGAAAAGCAGCAGAUCUGCAGGG